rnacentral:rRNA from 1 species
UACGGAGGGUGCGAGCGUUGUCCGGAAUCAUUGGGCGUAAAGGGCGCGUAGGUGGCCCGGUCAGCGUGCGGUGAAAGCUCGGGGCUCAACCCCGAGUCGGCCGUGCGAACUGCUGGGCUCGAGCACUGUAGAGGCAGGCGGAAUUCCGGGUGUAGCGGUGGAAUGCGUAGAGAUCCGGAAGAACACCGGUGGCGAAGGCGGCCUGCUGGGCAGUAGCUGACACUGAGGCGCGGCAGCGUGGGGAGCAAACAGG